rnacentral:rRNA from 1 species
GACGAACGCUGGCGGCGUGCUUAACACAUGCAAGUCGAACGAUGAAGUUCCUUCGGGAAUGGAUUAGUGGCGAACGGGUGAGGAACACGUGAGAAACCUGCCUUUCAUUUUGGGAUAACUCCGGGAAACCGGGGCUAAAACCGAAUACUCCGUCUCGGCGGCAUCGCUGAGCAGGGAAGAAAUUUUGAUGAAAGAUGGUCUCGCGGCCUAUCAGCUAGUUGGUGAGGUAAUGGCUCACCAAGGCAACGACGGGUAGCCGGCCUGAGAGGGCGACCGGCCACACUGGGACUGAGACACGGCCCAGACUCCGACGGGAGGCAGCAGUGGGGAAUAUUGGGCAAUGGGCGCAAGCCUGACCCAGCGACGCCGCGUGAGGGAUGAAGGCCUUCGGGUUGUAAACCUCUUUCAGUAGGGAAGAAGCGAAAGUGACGGUACCUAAAGAGGAAGCACCGGCUAACUAUGUGCCAGCCGCCGCGGUAA